CUAUUUUUGAUUAUUUGAUGGUUUAGUUCUUUGAGUUCAAACUGUAACCUGUUUUGAUAUUUUCCUUUCUUUUUGAUUUGUAUUGGAUCUCUAUUGUUGUUGAAUUUAUUUUCAGUCUCCCAUUAACUGCCCAUCUUUGUGAUUCCAGGUGCUGAGGGCCUCACUGGUGAUCCUGUUUGGUGAUGGUGUCCCUUCGUGUGUAGUGUCUUAUUCACUCCCCUCCUUUGUUUUGCUUUGCCCUUGUGUGUUUGGAGUGUUAAUUUUGGAUUGUGGUGCUCCCAUUUUAAGUUUAUACUUUCACCCCUCACUCACCUUGAGCACAAAUGCCCCAGCCCUGGAAUACAUGAUAAUUUAUACAAAUAGGAUAAUUUUUUUAGAUUUGAAUUGUGCCCAAUAAACUGUUGUAUAUGCUUUUGGAAACACGUCUCUCGCCUGCUCAGUGUAACGAACUUGUGUUGUCCUUUUGUUUAGAUUUAGUAAUUUACCUUAUUCAUAGAUUUCUUUCUUUUCCCUGGGUGAUUUCUCCCAGGGUGGCGUUGCUGGUUUCCUUUAGUUUCUUUCUUUUUCCCCUAGUUAAAAACAUAGAUUAUUGGGGUAGUUCCUACCCCACCUCACGCUUGCCACAAACUUGGCGUUGCUGGCAGGACUUAUACUGAAAAAAAAAGGCAGAGACGUGUGUUCCUUUGUUUUUUUGUUGUUUGUUUUUUUGUUUUUCUGAAUAAGACAAAGCAGCAGCAGUCCCCUGGCAACCAUGGAGGAAGAAAUGCAAGAGUUGCGAGCUCUGGUUGCGCAGUUAAAGGCUGACAAUGAGAGGUUGCGUCAAGCUUCGUUGGUGCCGCCCUCUAGUGCUACACCUUCAACCUCCUCAGUACUGCCGACUGCCCUUACUUCUGCCAGUGCCCCUGCAGCCGAGAGACGAGACCCCAGUCACGCAACGCUACAGGCGUGUAUCCCCUUCUGAUUAUGAGGCUGUCAAAGACCACAUUAAUCAGCUUCUUUCUGCUCAGGUGCUGAGGGCCUCACUGGUGAUCCUGUUUGGUGAUGGUGUCCCUUCGUGUGUAGUGUCUUAUUCACUCCCCUCCUUUGUUUUGCUUUGCCCUUGUGUGUUUGGAGUGUUAAUUUUGGAUUGUGGUGCUCCCAUUUUAAGUUUAUACUUUCACCCCUCACUCACCUUGAGCACAAAUGCCCCAG
ensembl:lncRNA